GGUAAAAUGGCUGAGGAUAAGCGAUAAAUUGUAAAUUUAUUUACGGAAUUAAUUUCCUUUUACCA
rnacentral:tRNA from 1 species